AACGAACGCUGGCGGCAGGCUUAACACAUGCAAGUCGAACGGUUGUAGCAAUACAGCAGUGGCAGACGGGUGAGUAACACGUGGGAACCUUCCUAGGGGUACGGAACAACUCAGGGAAACUUGAGCUAAUACCGUAUACGUCCGUGAGGAGAAAGAUUUAUCGCCCUUAGACGGGCCCGCGUCGGAUUAGCUAGUUGGUGGGGUAACGGCCUACCAAGGCGACGACCCGUAGCUGAUCUUAGAGGAUGAUCAGCCACACUGGGACUGAGACACGGCCCAGACUCCUACGGGAGGCAGCAGUGGGGAAUCUUGGACAAUGGGCGCAAGCCUGAUCCAGCCAUGCCGCGUGAGUGAAGAAGGUCUUCGGAUUGUAAAGCUCUUUUACCAGGGACGAUAAUGACGGUACCUGGAGAAUAAGCCCCGGCAAACUUCGUGCCAGCCGCCGCAGUAAUAC
rnacentral:rRNA from 1 species